UGCGCCCAGCUACUCAAACUGCAACAAAGAAACCACCGCGGUAGUCAUUCCGCUACGUUGUUUAGACUUGUGUGUCAUUUUUUUUUAAAUAGACAUGUUUUAACACUGUACCGAUGACAUUGUCGCCAUUGGAACCGAAACCACGUUUUUUUUUGCCAAGACGAACUGACUUUAAAGAGCGUGUAGGAGGGUUAUCGCUCAUCGCAAGUUGAGGUCCCCGACGGAGACCCUUAAGACCCCAGGGUGCACCCUUGACCCUCGACCCCGGGGCUGGACCCACGCUGAGGGACGAAGAGAUGUUACCAUGUCCACACUGAGCCACCCCAGGACGUUCUGUUGCAGCUCCUUCCCACUGGAGUUAUUAUUGGCAUGAGACCAGACGGCCCGCUUCCUGCGUUGUCACCGCCACUUCCUCUCCCUCCGUCCUCCCGCCUGCGUCCCACCAGCUCCGCCCGGCCGCAUUGAUGAGGUAACGCCAGGGACGUCCCAGACAUCCACCCGCCCAG